rnacentral:lncRNA from 1 species
UUUGUCUUGAAAUUGGUGUAUAGCUUGAUCUUUAAGUCUUCCAACACUAUGCCAAUUUUCACCUUAAUCCAACUAAUAGAUCUUUAGAUAUCAUAGAAACCCUAUCCAACCUCAAAGUGCCACCUUUUGAAAUCAUCUUGUGCUAAAAACUAGAUAUCUCUAAACCACGCCAUUACAUUAUGAUAAAAUUUUGUAUACACUUAAUACAUCCAAUAAUCCAAAUAAUAUCAAAUUUUCAACUGUAGAUGUUAUGCCAAUUGCACAAACUAGCCAAAGUUACUAGCCCUAAUUAUAUUAUAUAAAAUCCAAAUAAUUGAUACAAACCCUGACUUUGAGCAACAAUUGCUAACUCCCACAAAACCCUCUCAAAAUAAUUCUCAUAUUUCUAGAAUGAACUUCAAGCUAGCUCUCAAAUCCUAACCUCCGAUCUUUGAAUGAAACCCUAUUUUGCCUUAGGCCAUCAUUUUAGUGGCCAAAGGUUUGAUUUCGACCUUGUCUCACAAACGGUCGACCCCUAGGUAUCAAUCUAUCCUAUCCUAAGGAUUUUUUAGCCCAAUCCUACUCUCAA